CCUACCUACCCCACUUUUACUUACACGCCUCCCUCAUCUCCUUCACGCCUCCAUCUCCCUCAAGCCUCCGUCGCUCUCUCUCACACGAAGCUUCCAUCACUCCCUCUCACACACACACCAGCCUCCAUCAGUCGAUAUCUGCCACCGGUCUCCACACUCCGGCCUCCACGGCUAAUCCACACGCUGGCCUCCACAGCUACUCGACAUACCCCACAGCCCACACUUAUUCACUGUCACGCCUCACAGCCUCCACUCCACACGAAUCUGCCUCUGCUGCCGCUUCCACAUGCCGGCCUUCACACGCCGGCCUCCCCACGCGGCUUGAUCUUUUCAUUCUCACGAGAUAUCAUUGGGGGAGUUGCAGAAGUGGAAAGACAGGGCUUGUGGCCAAAUUAAACACCAAAGAUAUCGGGAUUAUUAAUGGUCAUGCCAAGCUGAUGAAGCUUUUGAGUUCUAAUGGGUGUCAGCUUUUAAUGCAAAGGCAAAAUCUAAAAGCAUUAAUGGAAGAAUUGUUAGGACCAAGUCAUAAUUCAAAGGAAUUAGGAGAUUUUUACUCUCGGGUUAACAGGUUUCCUACGUAAGUAUUAUAUGAACUGUUUCUCAUAUAUCUUCUCUUUGCUAAAUUUAAUGAUUCCAACUAAAGCAAAACAAUUUAGUUGGAAUCAUUAAAUUUAGCAAAGAGAAGAUAUAUGAGAAACAGUUCAUAUAAUACUUACGUAGGAAACCUGUUAACCCGAGAGUAAAAAUCUCCUAAUUCCUUUGAAUUAUGACUUGGUCCUAACAAUUCUUCCAUUAAUGCUUUUAGAUUUUGCCUUUGCAUUAAAAGCUUCCACCCAUUAGAACUCAAAAGCUUCAUCAGCUUGGCAUGACCAUUAAUAAUCCUGAUAUCUUUGGAGAGCAUCAUACAAUCAACGAUUUGAAUCUCAUAAAGUGGAUAUAAAGAAAAAAGUUCAAGGAGAUAGGGAGUAUUGGAGAAUUUUCACUCAUGGAGAGAUGAGCCGUUACCAACUGACGCUAGCAAAUCAAGUUGUUUUUAGCUGAAACGCCAAAUCUCAUUUAAAUGAUGAGUAUCAAUGUAAAACCCUUGAGGAGGUGGAGGAGGACCUAAAUGGGUUUUUCCCAAACAUGCUCCCUGAUCUUAGUGCAUUUUUGAUGGAUCAAGGGAUCGAUGCUUUUCAUAAAGAAAAGUUAGUGGAAAUUAAUGAAAUAUUCUUUAGUAGAAAACAUGUAAUAUUAUGUGCUUACUAAUUGAGUUAUUUAAAAAUAAUAGUGACAAAUAUGGAGAAGACGUCCUUAGCCAUUUGCACUCUAUCCUAAAGCGUUGCAUGCUCAAAAAUGGUGAUUGGGAUACUAAAUACUUUUGCGAGAUUUGUCGAUCGAUUUUCUCCUUAAUUAGUAAAAUUCACCUCUUUAUCAUAGUGUGUAAUUGUCAUAAUUUCUUUUUUUUUUUUUUAUAAGUGAGAAAUAUGCUUAAGUAAAUCAUUACUAACAAUUGUUUCAUAAACAUAUUAUAUCCAAUGCUAAGGACUUACCUAAACAUUGUUGAAAAUUAUGAAUUAUGAUGCCUGUAGUUCUUUUCAAUGGUUAGUAUAGAUAGAAAACUGUUAAAAACACUAACCCUGUUUUUCCCAAAUAGCCCCCUAGAAUUAGGAAAAAUGUAAAAUUAGGAUGAACAAAGCAAUGUAAGGUUUUUAGAAAACAAAUAUGAUUAAACUUAUUAUGAUUUGUUUGAGUAAUCUCCACCUUACUGGUUGUUUGAAAUUAUUUGAUGGAUGGUAGAAGAAAAAGUAUGCUCUAUUAAUAUCCAUAAUUAUUUUUUUCAUAUUAUCCUUUGGAUACUGAUUAAAAGAUUUGCAUUGUAUAUGAUGCUAGAGAUCUGUUCUUCUAUGAUACCUGAGCCUCAGAGUCAAGGUCUAUCAAGCGUUCUAACCAAUUUUAAAGAAAAAAUUUAGGUUUGUUCAUCCCAUUUAACUACUAAAGGUCUGAAACUCAAAUGUGGUUCUUGAUUUGAGCCAAAAUCAAUAGUGUGAUGUUAUACCAUUUGAACUUAGUUGAGUAUUUCUCAAAAAAAAAAAAAAAAAAAAAAAAAAAAAAACAACGUUGUUGAGUGUUACUUUUCUUCUUCUCUAUUGUAGGAGUUGUAAUCACAUUUUCCAAAAAAUCAAUUUAGAUUUCAAAACUUGAGGUUGAUGAGUCAAGAUCUAGUGGUUGAUAAUAGCAAAUCAUUAUUCUCUUUUUUCAAAAGGUAACUAUGAUUGAUAAUGAACGACUUUAUAGAGGAAUAUGCCUGUAAUCUGAAGCUGAUGUAAGCAAACUGGUUAGAGUAAUCAUUGAUAAAUUGGAAAAUCCACAGGAAUUUCGUUAUCCACUUAAAUAUGUUCCCAGUAGCUACGAGCUAAAGGAACUACUAACAAAUCCUAAAGAUAUCGGUGUGGAUCAAGUAUAGCAGGUUUCUUAUUUCAGUUGGCAAGUCAUUUGGGUCAAUUAGCAGGAAAACGACCAAAGUAAUUUCUUGGGGAUCAAGUUAUGCAAAAGACCUAAGUCAUGAUAAAAGGCAAUGGCCUCCGAAGAGAAAUCUUUCGAAGAAACAAAAAAAAUUGUGGUGUAUGACAAUCUUUCACACAAUCAAAUUUUUGGUGUAUAUUUUUCUGCAUAUCAUAUCUCGCCUUUUAAUUCAACUCUAUUGAUAUUGCAAUUUCUAUUUCUACCUUACAUUUGUAUACUUGGCUUUUGGCAUAUACAAAUUAAACAGACUACGACUUCAUUUUUAUA